rnacentral:lncRNA from 1 species
UGGCUGUCCUAGAUAGAACUCACUCUUGUUCUAGGCUAGCCUGGAACUCUGAGAUCCACUUGCCUCUCUGACUCCCAGAGUGUUGGCAUUAAAGGUGUACACCAUAACCACCACUUAGCUUGUAUUUGCUCUUCUUUCCUUCUUUCCUAAUCUCCUCCUCCUCUUCCUCCUCCUCCUCCUCCUCCUCCUCCUCCUUCUUUUAAAUACCCUCCUCCUUUCCUUCUUUCUAGGUCUUGUUUAAUCUCAAGGAUUUUAGUCCAUCAGUCUCUGCCUCUAGAGUUCUGGAAAUAUAGGUGUGUACCAUCAUGCUUGGUCUAGGGGUUUUAAAACUUAAAUUAUAUGUGUAUGAGUAUUUUGCCUUAGUGAAUGUCUGUGCAUCUUGUGGGUACUUUGUACCUGAGGCCAGAAAAAGGACAUUGGGUCCCCUGGAACUGGAGUUGCAGACAGUUGUGAGCUCUCAUGUAGGUGCUAGUAAUUAAGCCUGAGUUCUCUGGAAGAGCAGCUGGUACUUUAGACUCUGAACCAUCUCUCCAGCCUAGAUUUAUACUUUUUAUUAUAAUUAUUUGUUAAUUUACUUUGUGUAUUGUGUGCACAUAAACACAUGUGACACUUACAGCACAUUUGUAGAGGUUAGAGGACAGCUUUUGUGAGUUGGUUCUCUCCUACUAUGUGGGUCUUAGGGAUUGGACUUAGGUUGUUAGACUUCACAGCAGUGCCAUUAAAUGCUGAGCCAUGCCACCAGCCCCAGGAGGAUGAUUUCUUUUCCCAAAGAGUUAAAUCCUUGAAUUAAAACCCAUAUAUUACUGAAUAUGUGUCAGUAUUUCAUGGCUGAUUUUAUUCACAUUUUGUCUUCAUGGACACAUUCAGGUGCAGACAUGUAACAGUUAAAUGAGGAAACUGAGCUCUAUUAAUAGCUAAGCAGGGGCUCAGUUGUUAGAGUGGUUGCCUAACAUGCAUUAAGCCAAUACUAGGUUUGACUCCUAACAUUGAAAACUAGGUGUACCGGUGUUCUGGGAAGGUGGAAGCAGGAGGAUCCUAUGCUCAAGGUCAUUGUUGGCUACAUAGGGAGCUGGCAAGGGCAGAGGUGUUUGCAAACAACUAAAAUCUUACGUUUCUGAAUCAUAUUCCCCAAGUGUUAUAAGAACAGCUGGUCAAAUGCUCAGCAGUUAAGGGAAGAUAUUACCUUUGUAUAUGGCCUGAUCUCAGUUCUGAGCAUCUAUGUGGGAUGAAUGAGCCAUCACCUUAACUCUGCCUCCAGAGGAUUCCAUGUCUUGUUCUGGAGUCCACUGGCAACUGCACUUGUGUGCACGCUCCAGCACACGUACAAAGCCAUACUUUAAAAUAAAAUAAAUCUUUUUAUUUAUUUUUUUUAAAAGACAGUGUCUCUUUUGAGAUGGUGUAGCUCUGGCUGGCCUGGAACUGCCUGCCUCUGCCUCACAAGUUCUGGAAUUAAAGGGAUGUAUGACCAUAUCUGGUUAAUAAAUCCUUCCUCCCUUUUUUUCCAUGUGUGUGUGUAUCAAUUCUGUUUGCCUCAUUUUAUUGAUGUGGGGAUAGCCCCAGUUGCAUUUAGUUAUUUUUUUUUGCCUACACAAUCAUUUUAUUUGUCCUGAGUAUGUUUUACUUUGUUGUGUGGUAACUGCCUUUGAAAUGUUUUUUAGAAAUCUGCCACUUUGAAGAACUGUGCAUCUGUGGGUUUAGUGAGGGGAGUCAUAGUGCACUCAGGAAGAUUCACUGAUAAUGUAACAGCAGUGCAUUCUAACACUUCCACUGCUCGUUACUCAUUGGAGCCUUAUAAUAAUCUUAAGUAGAGAAGGAGGAUCCGAGUCACAAAGUGACUUACCCAAAGUCUGUCCUUCUUUCCCUUCCCUUCCCUUCCCUUCCCUUCCCCACAAAUCUUAACUAGAAUGUGGGAUAAAUCGUUAGCAUAGAUGAUCAAAUUGCAAGAUGAACCUAUAAUUCUUAGUUUCUAGUGAAUAGUGACAUACUUUAGAUGUUUUUUACAUAGAGUAGUUAAAUAUAAUUACAUAUUAAAUAGAAAAACCUGUAAAGGUUGAUUUUAUCUUUUUGGAGUGAUUAAUUUUAUAUGUUUAGGUAAAUAGGAAUCUUGGUAUUAGAUGUGUGUGUGUAUUCAUAUCUCCUUGUCAUGACUUAUCUUAGUCUCCUAUUUGCUUAUAUCUUUUUGUGAUUAAGCACUGAUUUGGAGGACUUCAUAACAGCAUCAGAAAUUCUUCUGGGCUUUCUGUGUCUCCGUUUUACUUUACAUAUUGGGAAACUUUUUUCUUCUUGCUUUUUUUUUUUUUUUUUGCUUUUUAAAAAGGGGAAUGAAUGAGGGCUGGAGAGAUGGCUUAGUGGUUAAGAGCACUGACUGAGGGGCUGGUGAGAUGACUCAGUGGGUAAGAGCACCCGACUGCUCUUCCGAAGGUCCGGAGUUCAAAUCCCAGCAACCACAUGGUGGCUCACAACCAUCUGUAACAAGAUCUGAUGCCUUCUUCUGGAGUGUCUGAAGACAGCUACAGUGUACUUACAUAUAAUAAAUAAAUAAAUCUUUAAAAAAAAAAAAGUUAU